rnacentral:rRNA from 1 species
AUUGAACGCUGGCGGCAGGCCUAACACAUGCAAGUCGAGCGAGCCGCGGACGUGUGAGUCAUGUAUGGGGACUGCUCUAUAGCGGGGGAUAACUACUGGAAACGGUGGCUAAUCCCGCAUACUCUCGGAUAACCCAUAUUGGAUUAGCUAGUUGGUGAGGUAUUGGCUCACCACUGCGACGCUCCCUAGCUGGUCUGAGAGGAUGAUCAGCCACACGGGGACUGAGACACGGCCCAGACUCCUACGGAGGCAGCAGUGGGGAAUAUUGCACAAUGGGCGCAAGCCUGAUGCAGCAAUGCCGCGUGUAUGAAGAAGGCCCUAGGGUUGUAAAGUACUUUCAGUAGGGAGGCGUUAACUACAGAAGAAGCAACGGCUAACUCCGUGCCAGCAGCCGCGGUAAUAC